GCCCGGAAAAUGACUGAACAAUAACAGAAUAUAUAGCAGGUUUUUGUGGAAUGGAAUAAGAAGACAUCAGAAGCCAGAAUAAAGACACCUCACCAGGGACAUCUGCUUCUCUCUCCUAACUCUGGGCAUUUUCACUGACUGACCUCCAUGCCUGGAUUUCUCUCCCUCCUCCUCUCUGCCUGGUUUCCCUGACUUCCUUCAAGUACCAUUUAAAAGCUCAUCUUCUCUAGUCCUAAAACACUGGAUUAAACUUCUUGCCUGGGAAGGACAUGGGAAAAGCUCAGUACUGGGAGAAAGGUGAGGAGUAGGUGUGGAUUCCAUAAAUUACUCAGGUAUUUCCUAAUCCAUUUCUAGUGACUUUGCCUUUUGAAAAUUCUUUUAAUUUCUUACAAUAGAGGUAUCAGAUAAAUGAAU
rnacentral:lncRNA from 1 species